CGACACAUGCUCGCUAAGAUAUCGCAUCCUAUGCAUACGUAUCUUCUCGGACGAGAGAAGAAUCAGAGCAUUCGUAGCUCGGCUGGCACGCACACAAACAAACACUGGCAAAGGCAAACGUGGAGCCUGAAUGCCAAUCACUGGACUUACAUCAGCAUCCGAACCAAAACACACACAAAGAGGCAAAUGUGGAGCCUGAAUGCCAAUCACUGGACUUACAUCAGCAUCCGAACCAAACACACGCACACUGGAACCCAAAUGCCACUCGAUGGACUUACAUCAGCU
rnacentral:lncRNA from 1 species